rnacentral:tRNA from 1 species
GCGGAGGUUGCCGAGUUGGACAAAGGCGUGAGGUUCAGGGCCUCAUCCCGAAGGGGUUCGGGAGUUCGAAUCUCCCCCUCCGCA